CUACGGGUUGCUCCAGUGAGGAAUAUUGCACAAUGGGGGGAACCCUGAUGCAGCAACGCCGCGUGGGGGAUGACGCAUUUCGGUGUGUAAACUCCUUUUAUAUGUCAAGAAAAUGACGGUAGCAUAUGAAUAAGCACCGGCUAACUCCGUGCCAGCAGCCGCGGUAAUACGGAGGGUGCAAGCGUUACUCGGAAUCACUGGGCGUAAAGGACGCGUAGGCGGGUUGGAAAGUCAGGUGUGAAAUCCUACAGCUUAACUGUAGAACUGCACUUGAAACUUCUAAUAUAGAGUAUGGGAGGGGGAGAUGGAAUUAGUGGUGUAGGGGUAAAAUCCGUAGAUAUCACUAGGAAUACCUAAAGCGAAGGCGAUCUCCUGGAACAUUACUGACGCUAAGGCGUGAAAGCGUGGGGAGCAAACAGGAUUAGAUACCCGGGUAGUC
rnacentral:rRNA from 1 species